CCUACGGGGGGCAGCAGUGGGGAAUAUUGGGCAAUGGGCGCAAGCCUGACCCAGCAACGCCGCGUGAAGGAAGAAGGCUUUCUGGUUGUAAACUUCUUUUGUCAGGGAAGAGUAGAAGACGGUACCUGACGAAUAAGCCACGGCUAACUACGUGCCAGCAGCAGCGGUAAUACGGAGGUGGCAAGCGUUGUCCGGAUUUACUGGGUUUAAAGGGCGUGUAGCCGGGUUGACAAGUCAGAUGUGAAAUCCUGCGGCUUAACUGCAGAACUGCAUUUGAAACUGUUGAGCUUGAGGACUGGGGAGGCAGACGGAAUGCCUAGUGUAGCGGUGAAGUGCGUAGAUAUUAGGAGGAACACCAGUGGCGAAGGCGGUCUGCUGGACAGCAACUGACGGUGAGGCGCGAAAGCGUGGGGAGCAAACAGGAUUAGAUACCCCAGUAGUC
rnacentral:rRNA from 1 species